rnacentral:rRNA from 1 species
UGGCGGCGUGCCUAAUACAUGCAAGUCGAACGCACUCUCGUUUAGAUUGAAGGAGCUUGCUCCUGAUUGAUAACAUUUGAGUGAGUGGCGGACGGGUGAGUAACACGUGGGUAACCUGCCCUAAGUGGGGGAUAACAUUUGGAAACAGAUGCUAAUACCGCAUAAAACCUAACACCGCAUGGUGUAGGGUUGAAAGAUGGUUUCGGCUAUCACUUUAGGAUGGACCCGCGGUGCAUUAGUUAGUUGGUGAGGUAAAGGCUCACCAAGACCGUGAUGCAUAGCCGACCUGAGAGGGUAAUCGGCCACACUGGGACUGAGACACGGCCCAGACUCCUACGGGAGGCAGCAGUAGGGAAUCUUCCACAAUGGACGAAAGUCUGAUGGAGCAACGCCGCGUGAGUGAAGAAGGUUUUCGGAUCGUAAAACUCUGUUGUUGGAGAAGAAUGUAUCUGAUAGUAACUGAUCAGGUAGUGACGGUAUCCAACCAGAAAGCCACGGCUAACUACGUG